rnacentral:pre_miRNA from 1 species
UCUUAUGGAUGACCAAAUAAAGUAGUUUCCUGAGAUGGCAUCUACUCCUGAUGAAGAUGUUGUGAA